GCCGGCGGUGACCUCGGUCCCUGCCCGUGCCGGCCCUAAACUUGCUGCACGACCGUGAGCCCCUUCCGGCUUGGUCAAUGGAGUGGUGUUACAAUCUUCCAUCGUACCUUUCCGGAGACGCCCGCGGCGUUAAACCCCGAUGUCCCUCUGCGGACUGAAGUUUUGACCUCAAAUCAGACAAGGAUACCCGCUGAACUUAA
rnacentral:misc_RNA from 1 species